rnacentral:tRNA from 1 species
GCCCCCCUAGCUCAAUUGGUUAGAGCACCUGUUUUGUAAACAGGAGGUUCAGGGUUCGAGUCCCUGGGGUGGCU